rnacentral:rRNA from 1 species
GACGAACCGUCCUAACGUUGUUCGGAAUCACUGGGCUUAAAGGGCGCGUAGGCGGGUUCCCAAGUCGGUGGUGAAAUCUUUCGGCCCAACCGGAAAACAGCCGCCGAUACUGGGAGUCUUGAGGGAGGUAGGGGUCGAUGGAACUUCCGGUGGAGCGGUGAAAUGCGUAGAUAUCGGAAGGAACGCCGGUGGCGAAGGCGGCUCGCUGGACCGGUUCUGACGCUGAGGCGCGAAAGCGUGGGGAGCAAACGGG